GUCCAUACAGACCUCCAGACCUCUAUGGUUAGCUGGUGGCAAGCUCCAGUCUCUGAACCCCCAGAGACAAGCUUUAUUUGUACAAGCAAGAUAUUACCACAUGCCCAGGAUCAUCUGGAAGAACCUGUGAAAGUGUCCGUGGCAGGAGUGGAAGCAGGGAAAGUGAUAAUUACUCAAAUGCCACAAACCUUACAAACCUUUGCAGGGGAGCUGAGGAGAAACAACUGACUGAAAAUCAGUAAAGGGUCCUAGGAAGCUUGGAGCAUCUGCCUGAGCCUCUCAGCCAGUCAUGUGAAGUCUUAAGUGUCUAUGACUGUAGCCUUACUCAGCACCCUGGAAUCCUGGCCCACACAAUACCUGGGCACUUUCGAGGCAGGUAAGUGAAACUUUAAUCCCAGUGUUCCUUUGGUUCCUGAUCCCCCCAGCCACCAUGGUCUCAGCUGGGCCACUCCCUUGCCAUGUCCCCAGCAAGCCACUAAAGGACUUAGCCCAACUCAGACAGCUAGGUGUUGGGUGGAGGGAGUAUGACAGGAGGGACCACAGAGCCAAUAAUGUAUCCUUAUCACUGCCACUUUCCUGGGUGCACACCUUCCUGGCAGUAGGUCUUGGGCUGCCUUCCAGUUUGGCUGUCCUCCUCCUAGCCUUCAUUCAUGCCUUGACACGCAGGAGUUUCAGGAGUUCUCCACAGAUGCAGAGCCCAGCCUGGUUCUAAGGCAACCCAGGGAGGGAGGAACCACAUUCCCUCCUUCAGUUGGCUUCCCUCUUCUCCCUCUCCCUUCCCUCUUCCUUCUCUUCCCCUCCCCUCUCCUCCUCUCCCUCUCCCUUCCCUCUCCUCCCUUCUUUUCCCCUCCCCUCUCCUCCUCUCCCUCUCCCUUCCCUUCCCCCUCUUUUCUCCUUCUGUCUUCCUCUUUAUCCUCAUCUUUCUUUCUCAUCCUCUCUUCCUCCUACAUCCCCCAUCUCCCUCCCUUCUUCCUCAUCUUCUUCCUCCUUCUAGCUUCUUGCCCUUUGUCUCCCCUUAUCUCCUCUUCCUCUUGUAUCUUCUUUCUUAUCUUCCUCUCCCACCUGCUCCUCCUCUCUUGCUCAUCUUCCUCUCACUUUCCCCUUCCUCUCCCUCCUCGCCUUCCCUCACCUCUCUCUCUCUCUCUCUCUCUCUCUCUCUCUCUCUCUCUCUCUCUCUCCCCUUUGGUUUGACCACCCUCCCUGUCUAUUCGGCCUCCCAUCCUCAUCUUCCCUCUACCCAUUUACCAUCAUAUGGUACCAUCUCCAUCUUCAGGUUCACUGCUUCUGUAUCUUCCAUUGCUUGCUCGCAGACCAUCCCCCACCAUCAUCCCAGAGCAGAUUUCCUUCUGAACUCUUUCACAACAGAGACCCGCCACAGAUAUCCACCGAUGAUGAUGACAAUUUGAGAGAAUGGCCCUUCCUUGGUGUCUCUCACCCAAUUAUCUCCCUGUAGGAAAUCUCAUCACUGAAUCACUCCUUGGAGCUCCAGCAACUUAAAAACCACUGCACAUUCUAUGUGCUCUAACUAAGCAGGGACCCACAGAAUGUUAGGUGCUGGGAAUGUAUGAGUAAGACACAUACCUGUCCUCUGAGAGUUCACAGUAGGGGGGAGGUGGGCCCAGAACCCAGAGCUGAAAAGACUGAGUACCAGUUUACUGUAACAGAUCAAGGUAAGUAAUACCAGAGAAUGACUGAGGGUGCAGCCCCCACUCAGCUGUCCGAGACAAAGUCACAAAACUCACCGUGUAGCCGAGAAUGACUUUGAACUUCUGAUCCGACAUUUCCUAAGUGCUAGAAUUACAGGUGAGGUGUGUACCUCCAUACCUGUGUUGUGCUGCACUGGGGAGGCAACCCAGAACUCUGUGGGAGGCAAGCGCUCUACCAGCUCAGCUCCAGCCCUGGUCUGCUCUCUUGAAGAUGAGGAGUUUGUGAUAGAAGAAGCAACUGGCUGACUCGUUGAAGCUGAAGUCUUCUCUACAGAACAGGGUUUCUUCCUGGAAGAACCUGUGAGGACUCUACUGCCCACCACUGUUUCUCACAGUUUCUGGACCUCUGGGCCCAGAGCCCAAACCUCUCCAUAAUUCUGCACCAUCAGAAGCCUCGCCUCCCAUCCUUACUGCACUGUGUGACCCAGCCCUCCCCUGUCGAGGAAGCUUCUAGGGUUGGCAUCUCCCCAGACCUGGCUUUCUGGGGCUAGGUCACAAAGCCACUGCUGAUGCUCUACUUGAUGGCCUCGCUGUGAUCCCUGGUUGCUGCUGUUCCUGAGACAAUGAGGAUCUAGGCGGGCCUGUCCCUCCUACGGGGACCUGGGGCAUGGGUGGGGGGGGGAUGAGUCCCCUGGUGCAGUCACAUGCCAGGGACCUUCUCAGCAGCACUCAUGACCCAAGCAGGCACUAGAUUGCCCUCAGAAGGGUUUGGCUUCCUUUCUUCUUUUCAAUGAAUUAAAUCAAUUAAGUCAUUUGGAAUUACUCCUGCUGCCACUUGAGGCUUUCUCCUUGGUGAGGCCUGACUCAUUAGGGCAAAAGGGCAGGUGCCAAAGUCAGCCAUGACAUCCUGUGUCAGAGCACUUCCUGUGGGCGGCCUGGGGGUCCUGCCCCUGGACCAGUACAUAGGGCAGGAGAAGAUCAAAUGUAGGCCAGAGCUAGGUCCAGGCUGGCCUCAGGUAGAGACUCAGAGAAUUGGGGUGUGGCUUAUCAUGGAAUUCCCUCGACCGAAAGAAGGGCUCAGGCUCUCCAGAGGACAGGGCACCUGUGUUUCCCAUCAGCUUCAUUUAUGUUGUGUGGUGAACCACUUUGUUGUUCUUUUUGGAAGCAGAUAGAGUAGACCACAUCAACUAGUAGGGCACAGGGAUUCUCAGACCCUGUCUCUGUCACAUCAACCAGUGGAGUACAGGGAUGCUCAGAUCCUGCCUGCAUCUGUCACAUUAACUAGUAGGGCACAGGGAUGCUCACAGACCCUGUGUCUGUCGCAUCAUUUAGGGGAAACAGGGAUGUUCACAGAUCCUGCAUCCUUAGCUCUUAGGCUGCAGAGUGGGAAACAGCUGCCCUUUUAGUGUCAAAGACAGUGAAUGGGUCCUCCUAGCUGUCUCAGCCUCUGGUGAGGUGAGCCUCAGCUCACCUCAAGCUUUCUGUGGAGGGUUACAAGCUGUCUGAGAUGCCGGUUCCAGCGUCACUUC
rnacentral:lncRNA from 1 species